rnacentral:lncRNA from 1 species
UGAUUCUGAGGCUUCCCCAGCCCAUGUGGAACUGUUGGGUUUCAGCCGAGCAAGUCUGAGGCCCCUUUCCCGCGCCCUCUGGUGGAAAGUGUUCGCUUUUCUGUCCACCCAUGUGAAGGAUUCACCCCGACCCUCCUCAGGUGGCCUUUACUUUGCAGGAGCAAAGCAAGAGACAGACUGUUGUUAUGUUGCCCAGACUGGUCUCAAACUCCUGGCCUCAAGUGAUCUUCCUGCCUCAGCCUCUCGGGGUGUUGGGAUUACAGCUCCAGGACUCUACCUCUCAUCAAGGCUGACCAGAAGCAAGAUGAUGGAAGCCAAGAGAGCUCCUCUGCAUGCUCCACUGUCUAAGCUCUGCUCUGCAUCUGCCGUGAUUCUUCUUCCAAACAGAAAACACCGUCUUUCUUUUUGACUACAUCUGUCCUCAGAGAUGGUGCUGAUGGAUCCAUUUAUAAUUUAUGUGAAUUUAAACCUUUGCAAUUUUUACAUGGAAUAAAAGGACCUAUUUUCUGGAAAGAAAAUGCUGAACAAGAGCUGAGAACCUGGGGCAAUCUAAGGCAGGGGUUCCUCCCUAACACCCCUGCUGUCAGAAGCCAGCUGGUUGGCCAUAGAUCACUUCACCUAACACCCAGUGCCCAGUCACAUUUGCCCCCAAAUUGUACAACUCAAGCUUAACUUUCACAUAUUUUAAGAUAGUGUCAGCCCCUUUUGCAAUAUGUAGAUGAUACUUUUUGUUUGUCAUUUACCAUUUCAAAAAAAUUAAAGCAUAUUGAAUAUCUAACUUAAAGCAUAUUGAAUAUCUAGCUUGCUUUCCUCUCAGGUUACUAAUAAGAAUUGCAUUUUUUAAUGCUUAAUCACAUAUUAAGCUUUCCAUUUGGGAGUUUUGCUCUUUUGUUCUUUAAAUGGUGUCUCAGUCCAUUUGGGCUGCUAUAACAAGGUCCACAGACUGGGUAGCUUAUCAACAACAGAAAUUUAUUUGUCACAGUUCUGGAGGCUGGAAAACCAAGAUCAGAGCUCCAGCAUGGUCAGGCUCUGGUGAGGGCUGUCUUCCAAGUUGCAGACUGCCAACUUUUUGUUGUAUCCUCACAUGGCAGAAAGAGGCAAGAGAGCUCUCUGGCCUCUUCCUAUAAGGACACUAAUACCAUUCAAGAGGGCUCCAUUCUUGUGAGCUAAUUACUUCCCAAAGUUCUCACCUCCUAAUACCAUCACACUGGGGAUUUCAACACAUGAAUUUUAGUGGGGCACAGUCAGUCCACUAUAAAUGAAUAUUACCAAUAUUUCCAUUUGCCUUCUUGCAUGGCCUGCAGGAGGUCAGUGUUUUUUCUCCUCUAAUGAUAUUGAGCUGCGGUUGGGCCCAUAAUGGUGAAAAGACCCGAUGAAGGCCAUCUCGUCCAUUCAGGCUACUCUAAUAAAAUACCAUGAACUGGGGGUGCUGAUAAACAAUAGAAAUGGAUUUCCCACAGUUGUGGAGGCUGGAAGUUCAAGAUCAAGGCACAAAUAGACUCAGUGCCUGGUGGGAACCCAUUUCUUAAUUCACAGAUGGUGUUUUCUUGCUGUGUUUCUAUACCCUAAUGGAAGGGGCAAGGCAGCUCUUGGAGGUCUCUUUUAUAGGCACUAACGCCAUUUAUGAAGGCUGCACACUUAUGACCCAAUCACCUUCCAAAGUUCCCACCUCCAAAUAUCAUCACCUUGGUGACUAGAUUUUAACAUGAAUUUAGAGGGGACACAAAUAUUUAGACCACAGCAGGUCUGUUAGCUUCACAAUAGUCAUGGUUCUGGCUUUCAAUUCACACAUAUUAUGGGGUCAUAAAAUAUGUAUCACCACAUAAAUAAAUUCCCUAAUCUUAAAUCACUAUCAUAUGUAAUAUUGUAUGAUGUGUUAUUUGAAAUA